UGCCCCUUCUCUCGAGGCGGCCAAUGUAGUCAGUCUGGGGACCCACCUCCCCCUUUCAGCUGAGCGCACACAACACAGCAUCCACGUGAGUCAGCUUCUUAAAGGCGAAGGCUUGGCCUGUCUAAUUGCGGCAGCUGCGAGACAUCGCACGUCAUUAGCGUCACCAGGUAGCGGCUGGAGCCGAGCUUCCUGAUACCUAGUGAGCCGCGGUGAUGACAAAUGAAAACAAUAAGCUGUUUCCUAGACAAACAGCUGCCUAGGUAACUAAAGUGCACCGUGUAAUUCGUUUCUUGGAGGCCGUUUCCCCGACCACCCCUGGUAGAGGGCUGCCUUUUGCUUUCAAACCCCUAGCCCUCGAGUCUAAGCGCAUAGGCACUCCUAAGAAACAUCUGUGGAUACAGGAUUUUUCAACUGCGCUUGACUUUAUUUACAACUCAUUUGAAUGUUUUUUCUGGGUAGUGGAAAUGAUUCUCAAAAAGAUGAAGAAAUUCAGUCUUCUAUAUGGCGAAUUUCUGCCUCAGAGAGUGAGAUUUGUUCAUUGCAAAGAGCAGCUGUUCCCUUAACCCUUAUCAAUGCUUAAGAUGGAAGAUGUUGCUUCUCAUUCCAUUAGAGUUGCCCAGUUUCGCUCUGUCGCCCAGGCUGGAGUGCAGUGGCACAAUCUCGGUUCACUGCAACCUCUGCCUCCCGGGUUCAAGCAGUUCUCUUGCCUCAGCCUCCCAAGUAACUGGUACUACAGUUUGUCCUCGGCUGUUACAGAGAAUUGAUACAAAAAAUGAUCAUGUGAAGAAUUUGCAUCUUCUGCAGAACUACCGGUAUCAGUCAGCAGUAGGAGAUUGCCAGACACGGUGGCUCACGCCUAUAAUCCUAGCACUUUGGGAGGCUGAGGUGUGUGGAUCACUUGAGCCCAGGAGUUCAAGACCAGCCUGAGCAACAUGGUGAAACCCCAUCUCUGCAAAAAAUACAAAAAUUAGCCAGGCGUGGUGGUGUGUACCUGUGGUCCCAGCUGCUGGGAAGGCUGAGGUGGGAGGAACAUUUGAGCCCAGAAGUUGAGCCGUGAUCACGCCACUGCACUCCAGCCUGGAUGACACAGCAAGACCUUGUCUCAAAAAAUAAAAUAAAAUAAAUUUUAAAAAA
rnacentral:lncRNA from 1 species